CUGAGUACGGCGGAACACGUGAAAUUCCGUCGGAAUCCGGGAGGACCAUCUCCCAAGGCUAAAUACUCCCUAGUGACCGAUAGUGAACCAGUACCGUGAGGGAAAGGUGAAAAGCACCCCGGAAGGGGAGUGAAACAGUUCCUGAAACCGUGUGCCUACAAGUAGUUAGAGCCCGUUAAUGGGUGAUAGCGUGCCUUUUGUAGAAUGAACCGGCGAGUUACGAUUUGUUGCAAGGUUAAGCGGAAAAAGCGGAGCCGUAGCGAAAGCGAGUCUGAAUAGGGCGCAUAAGUAACAGGUCGUAGACCCGAAACCAGGUGAUCUACCCAUGUCCAGGAUGAAGGUAAGGUAAUACUUACUGGAGGUCCGAACCCACGCACGUUGAAAAGUGCGGGGAUGAGGUGUGGGUAGCGGAGAAAUUCCAAUCGAACUUGGAGAUAGCUGGUUCUCUCCGAAAUAGCUUUAGGGCUAGCCUCGAGGUAAAGAGUCAUGGAGGUAGAGCACUGUUUGGACUAGGGGCCCUUCUCGGGUUACCGAAUUCAGAUAAACUCCGAAUGCCAUGUACUUAUACUCGGGAGUCAGACUGCGAGUGAUAAGAUCCGUAGUCGAAAGGGAAACAGCCCAGACCACCAGUUAAGGUCCCCAAAUAUAUGUUAAGUGGAAAAGGAUGUGGGGUUGCUUAGACAACCAGGAUGUUGGCUUAGAAGCAGCCACCAUUGAAAGAGUGCGUAAUAGCUCACUGGUCGAGUGACCCCGCGCCGAAAAUGUACCGGGGCUAAACAUAUUACCGAAACUGUGGAUGAACCUCUUUAGAGGUUCGUGGUAGGAGAGCGUUCUAAGGGCGGUGAAGUCAGACCGGAAGGACUGGUGGAGCGCUUAGAAGUGAGAAUGCCGGUAUGAGUAGCGAAAGAAGGGUGAGAAUCCCUUCCACCGAAUAUCUAAGGUUUCCUGAGGAAGGCUCGUCCGCUCAGGGUUAGUCGGGACCUAAGCCGAGGCCGAUAGGCGUAGGCGAUGGACAACAGGUAGAGAUUCCUGUACCAGUGCUAAUUGUUUAACCGAUGGGGUGACACAGAAGGAUAGGGAAUCGCACGAAUGGAAAUGUGCGUCCAAGCAGUGAGUGUGAGAAGUAGGCAAAUCCGCUUCUCGCGAAGCAUGAGCUGUGAUGGGGAAGGAAAUUAAGUACGGAAGUUCCUGAUUUCACGCUGUCAAGAAAAGCCUCUAGGAAGAGUAGUACUGCCCGUACCGCAAACCGACACAGGUAGAUGAGGAGAGAA
rnacentral:rRNA from 1 species